GACGAACGCUGGCGGCGUGCUUAACACAUGCAAGUCGAACGGAAAGGCCCCUUUGGUGGUACUCGAGUGGCGAACGGGUGAGUAACACGUGAGUAACCUGCCCUUGACUUCGGGAUAACUUCAGGUAACUGGGGCUAAUACCGGAUAGGAAUCCUUGCUUCAUGGUGGUGGUUGGAAAGCUUCGGCGGGUUUGGAUGGACUCGCUGCUUAUCGGCUUGCUGGUGGAGUUGUGGCUUACCGAGGCUUUGACGGGUAGCCGGACUGAGUGGGCGACCGGCCACAUUGGGACUGAGGGACGGCCCAGACUCCUAAGGGAGGCAGCAGGGGGGAAUAUUGCAGAAUGAGCGGAAGGCUGAUGCAGCAGCGCCGCGGGCGGGAAGACGGCCUUAGGGUUGUAAACCGCUUUCAGCAGGGGCGAAGCUUGUGGUGACGGUACCUGCAGAAGAAGCACCGGCUAACUACGUG
rnacentral:rRNA from 1 species